UUAAGACAAAGCCAGAGAAGAGAAAGGACUUGGUGCUGACACUGGGCCUUGCUGGGGGCGUGAACCUCAAGGACACUGUGUGGAGGGUCAUGAAGAUGCUUAUUCAGAACGACUUGGCCUGCAAAAUGAAUUGGACAGGCCUCCAUGGCAAAACAUCAUUCCAGGGCCUAGAAGUCAAGAAUGUUGUUACAGAAGCCAUUCGGAGAAAUCCUGGAUGCAGAAAAUCCACGAACCAGGAGGUGGAGCAAGGGUUGAGGCAUUGGUUGUAUUUGGCUGGUGAUCGAUAGGGGGGAAGGAGGAGGAGAAGCACAGUCCUCCACCAUCAGCCACCCACCAGCACACAACGUCAGGCGCACACACCAACACACAACGUCAGCCACCCACCAGCACACGACGCCAGGCGCACACACCAACACACAACGUCAGGCGCACACACCAACACACAACGUCAGCCGCACACACCAACACACAACGUCAGCCACCCACCAGCACACGACGUCAGGCGCACACACCAACACACAACGUCAGGCGCACACACCAACACACAACGUCAGGCGUACACACCAGCACACGA